rnacentral:tRNA from 2 species
UGCGCGAUAGUGAAAUGGCAUCACGUGGGUCUCAUAAGCCCAAAUUCCGGGUUCAAGUCCCGGUUGCGCAACCA